rnacentral:rRNA from 1 species
AACGAACGCUGGCGGCAUGCCUAACACAUGCAAGUCGAACGAGACCUUCGGGUCUAGUGGCGCACGGGUGCGUAACGCGUGGGAAUCUGCCCUUGGGUUCGGAAUAACAGUGAGAAAUUACUGCUAAUACCGGAUGAUGUCUUCGGCCCAAAGAUUUAUCGCCCAGGGAUGAGCCCGCGUAGGAUUAGCUAGUUGGUGGGGUAAUGGCCUACCAAGGCGACGAUCCUUAGCUGGUCUGAGAGGAUGAUCAGCCACACUGGGACUGAGACACGGCCCAGACUCCUACGGGAGGCAGCAGUGGGGAAUAUUGGACAAUGGGCGCAAGCCUGAUCCAGCAAUGCCGCGUGAGUGAUGAAGGCAUUAGGGUUGUAAAGCUCUUUUACCCGGGAUGAUAAUGACAGUACCGGGAGAAUAAGCUCCGGCUAACUCCGUG